rnacentral:lncRNA from 1 species
AACCAACCGAAAUCAAAAGAAAGUUGAAUUUAGUGUUAUGUUAGGCAAUCGUAAAAUAAUUCAUGUAGGAAUCACUCUAUAAGAGAUUGGUCAACAUAAAUUAUGCAUCUAAGUGAUUUUCAAAAGUUAAAAUCGAUUUAAACUCCGAAAUCGCGAUGCAAUAAAAUAUAAAUGAAUAAUCAAACAAUCACUUAGCAAAUAAUUAAUUGAACUAUAAUAAACUAAUCAAUUAGAAAAACCAACUAAUUAAUUAAUAAUAUA